CCUUCUUUCAUUUCUCUAUUUUCCUAUCUCACUCAGCCACCGAAGCCCACACACAUACACCCUCUAGUUCCCUAUAUUUCUCUCACUCCCUCACCGGUAAACCAGCCAUCCACCACCACUUUUGGUGGAUUUCACCGGAGAACCCCAUUAGAAAUCCCAUACACUCCAUUCUCUCAAAGCUUUAAAGGUUCCGAUAUUCUUGGUGAUGGACCUAGUGACUAGAUUAGAUGAUUUUGUGGUGCCCGGUUGAGGUAAAAUUGGUUGGCUUUUGGAGGUAAGUAGUUUUUUAAUGGGAUUUUUGGAAAAUAAUCAUGUUUUAUAAAUGUUGUUUUUGGGUCAAACACAUUUUGGAAAAUUAUAUAUGGAUAUAUGUUUUCUUAUAAGCAUUGUGUUGUGACCCUAUUAUAUAUUAUUAUAUAUGAAAAGUACAUCAUAUUUGGUAUAGCAUUUGGGGAAAUGCAUAAAUUGUUGAUAUGGAAAAAUGAGUAUCUUUUAUUUAAUCUUAGAUUUUAUGGUAUAUUAGAAAAUUUAAAGAUGCUUAUCUUGUCUUGUUAUGUGGGAAAUUGAUAGAAAAUCUCUUGACAAGAAUGAAGUUGAAAACCUUAAAAACUUUGUAGAAGUUAGAUUAUUUAAGAUUUUUUCUGAAACUACUUGGAUAUAAACUACGUGUUUCAAAGUAAUGUAACUUGUGAGUUGUUUUAACACCAUGCCAUGUGUGAUUUCCCAGUGAUCACCCGAUUUGAUUUCCAUAGUCUUUGUGACAACAGAAUCAAAUCCAAGUUAGUGCCCUUUUACUUUGGAUGACGCAUUCUUCCCUGCUGCCCAUGAGGGGAAGAGGUUCCUUGAUUGUGUGUGGGUGAGGCUGUUGUCCAUGGGGCCAAGAGACCACAUGCAAGAGGCGUCCUAUUUAACGUGCUCUCUCUGCUGCCUAUUGGGGGAGAGAAAAACCUUGAGGGUAUAGGUGAGGCUGCUGUCCAUGGGGCCAAGAGUCUGCAUACUAGAGAGGACAAUAUCAUGUUAGUUAUGAAUGGCUGGAUCCCCUGACCGAUCUAUGUGGUAGUAUGGUAGAUUUGUGAUAAAAUUACCGUAUGCAGAUUUUAUGGCUUUGGAAAUUAUAUUGUUAGUGCUCACAGAUUAUAAUAUACAAUUUCAUGGUAUUAUUUUGAGAAACUUUGUGUUUCAUCAUUUAAUCAUUCUUGUUACAUUAUUACUAAAAAUGAUCUUGCAGUAUUCA